AAAAGUAAACAAUAAGAAAAUAAUAAGCAAACAAUAAGUUAUGUACUUCACUAAUUCUCUAAUGCGUUAAAUUUUCUAAUUCUCUCGAGGAUAAAAAGUUUUAUUAACUCUCUUCAACUUCAAUAUAUAUUUAUGUUUCUCUAGAGGAAUCUCGUCUAGAAUCUCAAGAAACUCAUAUAUGUUUCUACUUCAUUUGUACCGUAGGGAGACUGGAUUUGUAAAUUGUUGUGUGCAGUUCCCUUCAAUUUCAGAUUGGACUUGAAAUUUGAAGGUGUAAUGGAGAGAAAACCUUGUAGUCCAGAAACUCAACCUCUAUAUACCAAUCAAAAUAUAUAUAUUUUUAUUUUAUUUUUGAAUUCCAUGAGGUUCUGGGCCGAAUUCCGUAAUCCUCUCAGGCCCGAAACCACAACAUGUAAUAUUAGUUUCGUCUCAAGCGUCACUCGAAUCGGCGACCUCUAAGCUUCGCCUAGGAUCUUUACCAAUUGAGCUAACGACAGUUGGUAAGCAAUCAAAAUAUAUCUACAAGUUACAUAACACGAUAAUGGUAAUUACUGUUCAAACGGCUCUUAAGACAAUCAUGGAAGAAAAUUCUGGAAUGUCCUCACCUCGACAAUUGUAACCUCAUCGCAAGCAUUGCUAUGAGAAUCCCGGAGAUUAUAAGAGAAGAUUCUACAAUGCCAUAACGCUUCACAUCUUCUGUUUUAGUGAACACAUAUUAUUCUCUAAUUUUCCAUCAAAAGCAUGUUUUUCUACCACAAACGUCACUAAUUGCAUUUCUUAGGUGAUUACGCAUUUUCCGUUAGA
rnacentral:sRNA from 1 species